UACGGGGGGGGCAAGCGUUGUUCGGAAUUACUGGGCGUAAAGGGCGCGUAGGCGGCCUGCUAAGUCUGACGUGAAAUCCCUCGGCUCAACCGGGGAACUGCGUCCGAUACUGGUGGGCUCGAAUCCGGGAGAGGGAUGUGGAAUUCCAGGUGUAGCGGUGAAAUGCGUAGAUAUCUGGAGGAACACCGGUGGCGAAGGCGGCAUCCUGGACCGGUAUUGACGCUGAUGCGCGAAAGCCAGGGGAGCAAACGGG
rnacentral:rRNA from 1 species